rnacentral:rRNA from 1 species
ACACGUAGGGGGCAAGCGUUGUCCGGAAUGAUUGGGCGUAAAGGGCGCGUAGGCGGCCUGUUAAGUCUGGAGUGAAAGUCCUGCUUUCAAGGUGGGAAUUGCUUUGGAAACUGGCGGGCUGGAGUGCAGGAGAGGUUAGCGGAAUUCCCGGUGUAGCGGUGAAAUGCGUAGAGAUCGGGAGGAACACCAGUGGCGAAGGCGACUUACUGGACUGUAACUGACGCUGAAGCACGAAAGCGUGGGGAGC